rnacentral:rRNA from 1 species
GGCCACUGCUAUCAGGGUUAGCCUAAGCCAUGUUAGUCGAGAGGGUUCGGCCCUCGGCGCAAGGCUCAGUAACAUGCGGUCAACCUGCCCUAAGGUGGGGGAUAACCUUGGGAAACUGAGGAUAAUACCCCAUAGGUCCAAAGCCCUGGAAUGGCUUUGGGCUGAAAGCCCCGGCGCCUUAGGAUGGGACCGCAUCCCAUCAGGCUGUUGGUGGGGUAACGGCCCACCAAACCUACGACGGGUACGGGUUCUGGGAGGAAUAGCCCGGAGUUGGGGACUGAGACAAGGCCCCAGGCCCUACGGGGUGCAUCAGGCGCGAAAACUCCGCAAUGCACGAAAGUGUGACGGGGUAACCCUGAGUGCUUGUCCUUUGGGCAAGCUUUUCUGGAGUCUAGAUCACUCCAGGAAUAAGGGCUGGGCAAGACCGGUGCCAGCAGCCGCGGUAAUCCCGGCGGCCCAAGUGGUGGCCACUCUUAUUGGGCUUGAAGCGUCCGUAGCUGGGUUCAUCCGUCCCUGGUUAAAUCCCAGAGCUUAACUCUGGGACUGCUGGGGAUACCAUGAGCCUAGGGACCGGGAGGGGGCGGAGGUAUUCCACGGGUAGGGGUAAAAAACCGGAACGUCGGUUCACGCCGUGUCGGGGUUCUGCGAACCCCAACUGUUUUACAGCCGGCGUCAAUCGGUGACCGGUAUUACAUUCCGUUAAUCCGUGGAGGACCACCGGUAGCGAAGGCGUCCGCCUGGAACGGCUCCGACAGUGAGGGACGAGAGCCAGGGGAGCGAAACGGAUUAGAUACCCGUGUAGUCCUGGCCGUAAACGAUGCGGACUAGGUGCAGCAUACCCUUCGAGGAGUAUGCGGUGCCGUAGGGAAACCGUUAAGUCCGCCGCCUGGGGAGUACGGUCGCAAGGCUG